rnacentral:rRNA from 1 species
GGUAGUUUUGCCUAUACGAAGGUAUUGAAAUAAGAUUUUAAAUGAGUGCUAAGAGAAUGAUUAAACAAUUAAAAGCUUUCUUUAAUUAAAUAAUUGAAUUUAAUUUUUUAGUGCAAAAGCAAAAAUAAAAAUUAGGGACAAGAAGACCCUAUGAAUUUUUUAUUAAAUUUUAUAUAAAGUUUUAUAAAAUUUAAUUUAAUUGGGGUGAUGGAAAAAGAAUAAAUAUCUUUUUUUAAAAGAAAAUUGGUUCCGUUUUUAGCGAUUAAAUGAAAAAAAUACUCUAGGGAUAACAGCGUAAUAAUUUUGGAUAGUUCAUAUAGAUAAAAUAGUUUGCGACCUCGAUGUUGGAUUAGGAUUCUUUUUUGGUGAAGAAGUUAAAAAAAGAAGUUUGUUCAACUUAUAAUUUCCU